CCUACGGGAGGCAGCAGUGGGGGAUAUUGCACAAUGGGGGGAACCCUGAUGCAGCGACGCCGCGUGGGUGAAGGAGUGUUUCGGCGCGUAAAGCCCUAUCGGCAGGGAAGAAGAUGACGGUACCUGACCAAGAAGCCCCGGCGAACUACGUGCCAGCAGCCGCGGUAAUACUUAGGGGGCAAGCGUUAUCCGGAUUUACUGGGUGUAAAGGGGGCGCAGACGGCAAUGCAAGCCUGGAGUGAAAUCCCAGGGCGUAACCCUGGGACUGCUCUUGAAACUGCGUGGCUGGAGUGCAGGAGGGGUAAGCGGAAGUCCGAGUGGAGCGGUGAAAUGCGUAGAUAUUAGGAGGAACACCAGUGGCGAAGGCGGCCUGCUGGACUGUGACUGACGUUGAGGCCCGAAGGCGUGGGGAGCAAACAGGAUUAGAUACCCUUGUAGUC
rnacentral:rRNA from 1 species